GAUGAACGCUAGCGGCAGGCUUAACACAUGCAAGUCGAGGGGUAUAGUAGCAAUACUAGAGACCGGCGCACGGGUGCGUAACGCGUAUGCAACCUACCUUUUACAGAGGGAUAGCCCAGAGAAAUUUGGAUUAAUACCUCAUAGUGUUAUUAGAUGGCAUCAUUUGAUAACUAAAGUUCCAACGGUAAAGAUGGGCAUGCGUCUAUUAGCUAGAUGGUAAGGUAACGGCUUACCAUGGCUACGAUAGGUAGGGGUCCUGAGAGGGAGAUCCCCCACACGUGGUACUGAGACACGGACCAGGACUCCUAACGGGAGGCAGCAGUGAGGAAUAUUGGACAAUGGGCGC
rnacentral:rRNA from 1 species